GGGGGUAGGUCUGUGGAACACUGGCUCUAACUUUGAGCUGUGGGGUAUUCUAUCGAGUCCAAAAUAUUAAGCCAUGUUUUGACAUAGAUAACAUUUCGACUUUUUGACAGAUGUGAUCUGAGAUCCAACAGUAAGAUAUCGAGGUUCGGCUCAAGCCUUUAGUCCCCAGGACUCGGGAGGAGCAGAUGGAGUACAGCAUUGCUGUGGAAUGUUGGUGAAUGAGAUUAGUGCAUGCAGACAUUUUGAAAGAUCUGCUUAGCAAUGGUGCCAUUCGGAGAGGUAAACAGCAGUCGAGCAGGUGCUGCCCCAACAUGCCAAUCAUCAGGGGAACAUGUUUGGCUGGCAGAUCAUGGCGUGGAUGGAAAACGUGGCCGUGAUAGCUGCAAGUGCCUGUAUCUACCAUGCUGUCCUGGCAUUGUCCACCAGAUGGCAACCUUUCAUUACCUGGGACAUGUUGGUCAUGGGUCAUGUUGUGCUGUGAGGUUCAUGCCCUGGGGGGACUUGCUGGUUUUAAAGGCUAUUGUUAACAACUCCUUUAAGAACAGUGAUAGCACUGCGAUCAGUUACACUGCCUACACAUUCAGCCACAAAAGAUUAUACCAGGGGUGAGGUGUUAAGUGCUUAAGUUUGGGAAGAAUUGGAUACUGUUACAAAGGUGUCCUACUAUAACCAGGCUAACCCUGGAGUGCUGCCCUACAUCUCCAGAGACAUUGCUGGACUCUCCUCCAACUUCUGCACAACAUUCAUUUCCUGUAGCAAAUUCCACACCCGCUCCUGCUUCAGAGUUAACGGAAAUGCCUGCAGUGCCAAAAAAAAUAAAUAAUAAAAAAGCUGUAUACUGUACAUUGCCUGUUCACUUUAAUAUUGGGGUUUAGUUGUAAGGGCAUUUACUGUCAUGUAGAAUUCUUAUGCCUUUAGGUUUUUGCAUUAGCAUCCAAGCUUUACAUGUAGGUUACAAAUUCAAGAUGCUGUUCAAUAAAGUCAGAAAGCUGCACUUUGCAACAAAGUAACUUUACCCCCCGCACGUGAAUGUAUUGAUGCCUAUUGCUCUGUAAAUAGGACACUUUUUUAACUUACAACUUCUGAUGUUCUGUAACUGGUACUGUGUGGUUUAUGUUAAAGCCUUGGCAAGUACUUUUAUAUUUUCUCACUGAUUUACUGUUGCUGCUGCUUUGUAAUUGAUUUAGAUGUCAAAUUGUCAUAGAAUGUGAUAUUACCACACAUUGUUUCAAGAAAAAUAACCUCUCAAUCAGUAUAUUUACAUGUUAGACAUAUCCAGAAUACUUCAGUAGCCAAAUAAGUGUUCUGGAUAAUCUGUUAACAUGCAAGUGGAGUUCGUUAUUCCACAUUGAUAUGCAGACAGAAAUACCCUCAACAUGACACACACUGGGUAUGCUCAAGGUGUUUGAGUUUUUACAACGAAAGACUAGUAAAUGGUUAAAAACAGGGUAAAAUGGAUUCUAUGUACAGAUUAGUGAAAAACACUAACAUGUUGGAUCACUUACUUGAAUAUUAAAUGAUUUACUGAAA